rnacentral:rRNA from 1 species
UACGAAGGGGGCUAGCGUUGCUCGGAAUCACUGGGCGUAAAGCGCACGUAGGCGGAUUGCUAAGUCAGGGGUGAAAUCCCGAGGCUCAACCUCGGAACUGCCUUUGAUACUGGGGAUCUCGAGUUCGGGAGAGGUGAGUGGAAUUGCGAGUGUAGAGGUGAAAUUCGUAGAUAUUCGCAAGAACACCAGUGGCGAAGGCGGCUCACUGGCCCGAUACUGACGCUGAGGUGCGAAAGCGUGGGGAGCAAACAGG